AAAUGCGAUAAGUAAUGUGAAUUGCAGAAUUCAGUGAAUCAUCGAAUCUUUGAACGCACCUUGCGCCCUUUGGUAUUCCGAAGGGCACACCUGUUUGAGUGUCGUGAA
rnacentral:rRNA from 1 species